rnacentral:rRNA from 1 species
CCUACGGGAGGCAGCAGUGAGGAAUAUUGGUCAAUGGGCGGAAGCCUGAACCAGCCAAGUAGCGUGCAGGAUGACGGCCCUACGGGUUGUAAACUGCUUUUAUACGGGAAUAACGCGCCUUACGUGUAGGGCUUUGCAUGUACCGUAUGAAUAAGGACCGGCUAAUUCCGUGCCAGCAGCCGCGGUAAUACGGGGGAUGCGAGCGUUAUCCGGAUUUAUUGGGUUUAAAGGGUGCGUAGGCGGACUGUUAAGUCAGCGGUAAAAGCCCGGGGCUCAACCCCGGCGAGCCGUUGAAACUGGCUGUCUUGAGAUGUCGAGAGGUAGGCGGAAUUCGUGGUGUAGCGGUGAAAUGCUUAGAUAUCACGAAGAACCCCGAUUGCGAAGGCAGCUUACUAAACUGUGACUGACAUUGAUGCUCGAAAGUGUGGGUAUCAAACAGGAUUAGAUACCCGUGUAGUC